CCUACGGGGGGCUGCAGUGAGGAAUAUUGGACAAUGGAUGGAGAUCUGAUCCAGCCAUGCCGCGUGAAGGAUGACUGUCUUAUGGAUUGUAAACUUCUUUUGUAUGGGAGCAAUAAGCUUUACGUGUAGAGUGAUGAUCUUACCAUACGAAUAAGCAUCGGCUAACUCCGUGCCAGCAGCCGCGGUAAUACGGAGGAUGCGAGCGUUAUCCGGAUUUAUUGGGUUUAAAGGGUGCAUAGGCUGUUUUAUAAGUCAGCGGUGAAAUCUUAUGGCUCAACCAUAAGCUUGCCGUUGAAACUGUAUUUCUAGAAUUUGGUUGCAGUGAGUAGAAUUUGUGGUGUAGCGGUGAAAUGCUUAGAUAUCACAGGGAAUACCGAUUGCGUAGGCAACUCACUAAGCCAUUAUUGACGCUGACUCACGAAAGUGUGGGGAUCAAACAGGAUUAGAUACCCCAGUAGUC
rnacentral:rRNA from 1 species